CUUAGAUCGUACAUCUACAACACAAGUCAGACUCAUCUAAACCAAAGCUUUUCUCAGUUGGCUGGACACAUUUUCAAUGCUAAUUUUGCCUACGAACACUGUUUCUUUUGGACUAGGGUAUUUAGAAAUCAUGGCUUCCCCUUUUCCUGUUAAUUUUAGGUUACCACGUAUUUUGAAGCUUUAUGAUGGCAUGGAUGACUAGAAGUUGCACAUUACCAAAUUUCAAUAUAUGAUGCUUUUGAAUGGUAUUCUGAUCCUAUACUCUGUCAGUGUGCUGUUUUACUUUUAUUUUCUACUUUACAUGCAAGUUUUGUUUCUACUUUACAAGAAUUGUCCAGUAUUCUCUUCACCAAACAUUUCUCUUCAUCUUGUGUGUAUGAAUGAAUGGUUUCAAUUAUUUGAGCACUCUAAAGCAAGGACCACAAUAAACUUUAAGGGAGUAUUUUACUCGUUUUAAUGGUGUCACUAUAGAUAUCUCUCUAACUUGCACCCAUAAGUUCAUCUUCACGCUAUAUGAGACCUGAGAAAAAUUCAAAAUCUACCCCAAAGUUAGUUGAGAAGAAGAAUUAGUCAAGAAAGUUUGCUGACCUAACAACUUUCUGUUUCUUGAUAUUUAUCUAGUUAGUUAGGAAAAUAAUUAGCUAGCUUGAGUUAGCUAGUAUAUAUUGAGCACCAGUUAGUGAUGUACAGUGUGUGAUUCACCAUUAUGAAAUUAGAUUACUGCCAUAUGUAUUCCCUUUUUUUCUUCUUUGAUUCCUUAAUCUUUCUUUCGUUCUUCUUUCAUCUCUUCUACAAGAUCUUAAGUUCUUCCUUUGGUUCUUUACUUGCCAAACACAAUUUUGCAUGGUGCGGUGAAUGGGUUAAUCAAACUUGCAAGACUUUUAUUCAAGAGAGAAUAUGGUGAAUCCAGAUUCCAGUUUUGCUGCCAUGGAAGAAGGUUCACCAGUCACAAACCUCGAUCUAAGUGCAUUGGAAAGUCUGAUAAGUCAGAUCAAUGCACUUCAAGCUCAAAUUCCAAACGAACAUAAAUCCCGUUUCUGAUCCAACCAGUCCAUAUUUAUUCAUCCUAGUGAGAUUUGUGGUUUUUCAUUGAUUUCUAUAAAAUUAGUUAAUAGACAUUACCAAUUUACCAUAAUUGGGAGAAAGCUAUGUGGAGGACUCUCAAGUCCAAAAACAAACACAAAUUCAUCGAUCAAUCCAUUCUAAAACCUGAACUACAUGAUUCUAUGUUUGAGGCGUGGGAUCAUUGUAAUACUCAUGUAAUUUCUUGGAUUCAUCUGUCAUUAAGUUUGGAUAUCUCUCAAAGUGUAAUGUGGCACAAUAAUGCAAUUGAUUUGUGGCAAGACCUUAAGCACCUCUACUAUCAAGGUGAUAUAUUUCAAAUUGCUGAAAUUGAAGAAGAACUCUUCUCAAUGAGACAAGGAGCUUUAUUCAUCACUGAAUAUUUCACUAUGCUAAAGGCAGUUUGGGAAGAAUUGCAAAAUUUUAGACCCGUUCCUCCCUGUGUUUCUUGCACUACUUCUUGUAUUUGUGGCUUGGAAACAACGCAAGGCUACCUCAAAGAUACCUAUGUGGUUCGUUUCUUGAGAGGUCGAAAUGAACAAUUCCCUGCUGUUAGAUCUCAACUUAUGUUGCUAAAACCCCUGCCAGAUAUAGAUCUACCUUCUUUUGGCUUUUGCAGCAAGAAAGGCAAUUUCAUAUUGCUAAGCCUCUAGAAAGAAGAGCAAUGCUAAGUUCCACACAGUUUGCUACUCCAACUAAAGGAAAGGGGAGAGGAAGGGAAGGACAAAAUGGUGGAAGAGGUUCCCUCCACAUUUGAGAAGGAAUUUUGACAGCAACAAUGUCAGUAACACACUAGCUGAUGGUAUUGAAGAUGAAAUCAGCAAUGAUGCUUAUCCGUAGGAUGAGGACAGUAAAGCCGAGAUUUUCUUCACCUUAGAGCAAAAAAUGCAUUGUUGGUCCUCAUUCAAUAGUCAGAUGUGCCAAAACCUCUGUAUAGCACAAAUCAGCUAACCAUCACAAUCUUACCCUCUAAUUAAGGUAUUGUUCAUGUCAUGUCUUAGUCAGUUU